rnacentral:rRNA from 1 species
GAUGAACGCUGGCGGCGUGCCUAAUACAUGCAAGUCGAGCGAACAGAUAAGGAGCUUGCUCCUUUGACGUUAGCGGCGGACGGGUGAGUAACACGUGGGUAACCUACCUAUAAGACUGGAAUAACUCCGGGAAACCGGGGCUAAUGCCGGAUAACAUUUAGAACCGCAUGGUUCUAAAGUGAAAGAUGGUUUUGCUAUCACUUAUAGAUGGACCCGCGCCGUAUUAGCUAGUUGGUAAGGUAACGGCUUACCAAGGCAACGAUACGUAGCCGACCUGAGAGGGUGGUCGGCCACACUGGAACUGAGACACGGUCCAGACUCCUACGGGAGGCAGCAGUAGGGAAUCUUCCGCAAUGGGCGAAAGCCUGACGGAGCAACGCCGCGUGAGUGAUGAAGGUCUUCGGAGCGUAAAACUCUGUUAUUAGGGAAGAACAAAUGUGUAAGUAACUGUGCACGUCUUGACGGUACCUAAUCAGAAAGCCACGGCUAACUACGUG